AUUAGGUUUUAGAGACAGAAAAGAGAUCAGAGCUUCAAACACCUGCUGAGAACAUCAACAUGAAUCGUGUGUUUCUGGUCCUGGGCUUCGUCCUGAUCAUGGCGCUCUACUCAGACGCUCAGUACGCUAUGAUACCUUAUGCAGAAGUUUGCUGUUUCAACUUCUACGAUGGAAAAAUUCCUUCCAAAGACGUCCAGGAGAUUAAACGGACAGGCUCACACUGUCCACAUCAAGGCUUCAUAACCUAUAAAAGUUUUUGGAGAAGUCGAGCCUUGCUGUUUAAGCUUCUUCGAUGGACAAAUUCCUCCCAAAGACAUCCUGCAGGUUAAACCGACAGGCUCACACUGUCCACAGAAAGGCUGCAUUGUUACUACUCCUAAAUAUCCCAAUCUGUGUGUUCGUGAAGUCGUCGUCAAUGGCUGAACACCUUAAGGCUGCAACUCAGAUCACACUGCAACACACAGACACACACAUAUGCAUGCACACACAUGCAUGCACACACACA